CCCUGCACAGGCCGUCCUCCCCAACAACAUCCUGGUGCUGAGUGAUGGCACAGGUGACUCCAGCAUCAGUGAUUUUGUUGAAGAGGGCAGCUGCCA
ensembl:miRNA